CCUUUUUUUUUUGUCUUUCUCUUUCUCUUUCUCUCUCUCUCUAUGAAACUUCGCCUGGCCUGCAAAUAUCUUUUUUACUGAGAAAAAUAUAGCAUGCUAGCUAUCUCACUACAACAAAAACGGUCUAUAGCGACAUCUUUAAAUAUCGACACAGGUCAAAAAAAAAUGCUGCUGGCUAAAUUACCGACACUUUUAAAAAGUGUCGCUAUAUGUAGGGUCGCUAGGUAUAUAGUGACAGUUAAAGAGUGUCACUAUAACCUAAAAAGAGUGCUGCUAAUUUAGCAACACUUAUUUAAACAUCUAGCAACCGUCGAAACUCUAUCUCGUUGGCUGCGGUGGCGGAGGAGGACGAGAGAGAAGGGCCCUUCAUAUAAAAUUUUAGUGGAAUGAGUGAGAGGAGAAGGAGAGAUGGUAAUCAAUUUUUCUUUGAUUUUUCUUUUCUUUUUGUAAUCGGACCAAAUGGGUUGGGUUGGGUGGGUUGAGUAGAGAAAUAUUUUAUUUUUUGUUGGAUUCGGUAUUAUAUUUAGACAUUAGUAGAUAUUUUUUUUAAAUUUUGGCAUAAAUGGGACACUUAGGCAAAAGUGUUCCAAACAUGUGUCACUAUAACCUAAUUCUGUUGUAGUGAUUUGCUUCAAUUUCGCUAUAACCUAAUUCUGUUGUAGUGUCUGCUUCAAUUUCAUUCAGAUAUAUUAAAAAAUGAAAUACAUUUGUAACCUGUU
rnacentral:lncRNA from 1 species